rnacentral:rRNA from 1 species
AACGAACGCUGGCGGCAUGCCUAACACAUGCAAGUCGAACGAACCCUUCGGGUCUAGUGUCGCACGGGUUCGUAACGCGUGGGAACCUUCCCUUAGGUUCGGACUACCUCCCCGAAAGGGGUGCUAAUACCGGAUCAUGUCUUCUGACCAAAGAUUUAUCGCCCUUGGUUGGGCCCGCGUUGGAUUAGCUAGUUGUUAGGGUAAUAGCUUACCAAGGCGAGCAUCCAUAGCUGGUCUGAGAGGAUGAUCAGCCACACUGGGAGUGAGACACGGCCCAGAAUCCUACGGGAGGCAGAAGUGGGGAAUAUAGGACAAUGGGGGAAAGGAUGAAGCAGCAAUGCCGGGUGAGUGAUGAAGGUAGGAGGGUUGUAAAGUUCUUUUAACCGGGAAGAUAAUGACAGUACCGGGAGAAUAAGCCCCGGCUAACUACGUG